UACGUAGGGUGCGAGCGUUAAUCGGAAUUACUGGACGUAAAGUGUGCGCAGGCGGCCGAGCAAGUCGAGUGUGAAAGCCCCGAGCUUAACUUGGGAAUUGCGCUCGAAACUACUUGGCUGGAGUGUGGCAGAGGAAGGUGGAAUUCCAGGCGUAGCGGUGAAAUGCGUAGAGAUCUGGAGGAACACCGAUGGCGAAGGCAGCCUUCUGGGCCAACACUGACGCUCAUGCACGAAAGCGUGGGGAGCAAACAGG
rnacentral:rRNA from 1 species